GUCUUAAAGAAUAUUUAAUUUUAAGUCCAAUCUGCCCCCUGAAUAACUUUAAAUGGCUGCAGUAUUUUGACUGUACAAAGGUAGCAUAAUAAUUUGUUUUUUAAUUAAAAACUAGAAUGAAAGAUUAAAUGAAAUAAAAUCUAUUUCAAUUAAAUUAAAAUUUAAUUUUUUAUUUAAGUAAAAAAACUUAAAUUUUUUAUAAAGACGAUAAGACCCUAUAGAAUUUUAUUUUUAUAUUUAAAUUAAUUUAAAUAAAAAAAUUUAGUUGGGGUAAUUAAAAAAUUUAUUUAAUUUUUUUUUAAAAAUUACAUUAAUUUAUGGUUGGAAUAUUUUAAUUUUUAAAUUAAAAAAAUUAAUUACCUUAGGGAUAACAGCAUAAUUUUUUUUGAAAGAUCUUAUUAAUAAA
rnacentral:rRNA from 1 species